UGGGGAAUAUUGGGGCAAUGGGGCGAAAGCCUGACCCAGCAACGCCGCGUGAAGGAAGAAGGUCUUCGGAUUGUAAACUUCUUUUAUCAGGGACGAAGGAAGUGACGGUACCUGAUGAAUAAGCCACGGCUAACUACGUGCCAGCAGCCGCGGUAAUACGUAGGUGGCGAGCGUUGUCCGGAUUUACUGGGUGUAAAGGGCGUGUAGGCGGAUAAGCAAGUCAGAUGUGAAAUGCAGAGGCUUAACCUCUGAGCUGCAUUUGAAACUGCAUAUCUUGAGUGAUGGAGAGGUAAGCGGAAUUCCCGGUGUAGCGGUAAAAUGCGUAGAUAUCGGGAGGAACACCAGUGGCGAAGGCGGCUUACUGGACAUUAACUGACGCUGAGGCGCGAAAGUGUGGGGAGCAAACAGGAUUAGAUACCCUGGUAGU
rnacentral:rRNA from 1 species